rnacentral:rRNA from 1 species
CCUACGGGGAGCUGCAGUCGAGAAUCAUUCACAAUGGGGGAAACCCUGAUGGUGCGACGCCGCGUGGGGGAAUGAAGGUCUUCGGAUUGUAAACCCCUGUCAUGUGGGAGCAAAUUAAAAAGAUAGUACCACAAGAGGAAGAGACGGCUAACUCUGUGCCAGCAGCCGCGGUAAUACAGAGGUCUCAAGCGUUGUUCGGAAUCACUGGGCGUAAAGCGUGCGUAGGCUGUUUCGUAAGUCGUGUGUGAAAGGCGCGGGCUCAACCCGCGGACGGCACAUGAUACUGCGAGACUAGAGUAAGGGAGGGGGAACCGGAAUUCUCGGUGUAGCAGUGAAAUGCGUAGAUAUCGAGAGGAACACUCGUGGCGAAGGCGGGUUCCUGGACAUUAACUGACGCUGAGGCACGAAGGCCAGGGGAGCGAAAGGGAUUAGAUACCCCAGUAGUC